GUUUCCGCCAAUGUGGUCUCUUUGGCUGGUAUCAGUGUGGAGGAGGGAGCAGGUUUUUUGUCUUCUCUCUUUUUUUUUAAUUUCUCUCUGCUCUAAGUGGAUUUUUAAUAAAUAGUAUUAAAAUAAUACUUGAAUAUUAAUUUUGAUCUUUACAUUUUUGGUGACUCUACAAAGGGACUUAGUUUUAUUUUGUGUUUUUUAAAGCCGUCAGUUUCUGCUUUAGCUGCACUACCAGAGCACAGCUGCUUCUAGCAGCUGAUAGCAAUCACCAUUAAAGCAACAGUUUGCCUAAAUCCCAUUGUUUGAAACUAUAACUGGUUUGCAACCAAAAGCUGCUUUACUGCUGGGAGUUUUCAAACCCCAGCUCCAGUCAGCUCUCCUACAGAGCCAGCUGUCUUAAUUUGGGGGACUUAGUGGAGAAGCCAGUCCCCACCCACGGCCCAGAGAGCAGCAGAUCAGCCUGAUUGGCCAUUCCUGCCAGCAGCUUGGCCAAACCCCAGCUAAGCAGCAGGCCCACUUCUCCCCCACUGCCUCAAAUUGCUACCUCAGCUGGGGCACCCUGGGCCCACCCGGGUGCUGCUACUAAAACCUGCAGCUGCCACAACCCUGAGCUUUCUGCGGCUUCUGCUGAUCUACUCCUGUUCUAGCCGGAAAUUUAAUUUUUCUGAUCUUCAAUAUUAACACAAAAAAUGCUACAAGAGAUUAAAGCAUAAAUGCAGGCCGAGAGGAAAAUCCAAUCAAAAAAUUUACACGAUCUAAUGAAAAAUACUGAAUCCAUUAUGAUAGAGACAUGAGGAGAGAAGGUUCUGCAGGACCAAGUGACCAAGAUACAGGGCUGGAGAUCUGGCUCUAGAUGUCUGUCAAGACAAGAUUCCAACGGAAUGUCCCUGGUUGGUGGCAGUUUGAGUUGACAUUGGGGAGGGGUUUUUGGACUUGGUCUCUGACUGGGAGAGAUACAUUCUCUUCCUGGAGGUUUAAAGCUGGCUGAAAGACUUUUGUGAGGCUGAUUUGAUUUUUUUGUUUUCUCUGACUUUGAGCAGUUGAAGUUAAUGCUGAGAAGAGAAACUUGGCUUUUGGGACUUGGUCUCUGUGUCUCUGGCUCUGAGCAGUGGAAGCUGAUCAAGGGAGAAGCUUUUGAGUUGGUGGUCUAUAAGAGAGUUGAGCUGGCCAGGAGAAAAGGAGAGACUUUGAACUUUGUUUCUUUCUGGGGUUAAGCUGAGAGAUCUGGCUGAUUUGGGAAGAAGAAAGAAGAUUUUGAACUGCUAUUGUCCUCCAUCUUUCUAACUGUCUAAGAGUCACACUUGUGAGUCCCCAAACCCUCAAUUUUGAAAUUCCUCAUCCCUCUUACCUCAGUUUCCCAUCAUGUUAUCCCAAUAAACCCCUUGACUGAGAAAGCAACUAGAGUACCAUUACAGUUCAACUCAGGAAGGAGGGAAGGAGCCAAAGGCUUCAAGAAGAUCUGAGAGGUGAGGGAGGCAAAAGGGAGAGGUUGGUUGAGGGAGUGAGGGAGGAAGGGGAAUCGGAAAUAGACUGAUCAGUAGGGAUCGAUAGGCAAACCUCAGAGUAAACCCCAGGGCAGUCCCUUAUAAGCAGUGUCUCCUAUGUACCAGUAUCCCUGUGUGUGGCAUCCCUCCAUUACAUAUAAGCAGGUUUAGGUUCCUAUAGCAGCCAUCUCUAGUCACAACCAGCCAGAGAACAGUCAUUGCUGAAGAAACAGUUUCACCUCAGUUUACCUUUAUAUUUCAACAAGAAAUAGUUUCCUUCCAGCUUACAUCUUUUAUUUUACCAUCCAAAACUAGUCUGAAUUUUGUAAGCCUGUUCCUGAACCACAAAUAGAGGACAAUUCUAAUUCUCCCAAAAUGGAGAUGAGACACCACUCUCGUAUACAUCAGGUAUACAUCCUUCUCUCUCCUACUCUGCAACAUCUCUCUCAUGCUCUACAACUCCUGGCUGAGCUUACCUCCCCUGAUCCUUCUUCUAAUCCCCCAUCCUCUCCUGUCCCUUCUCCAACCCCACAACCAGCACAGACCCAAAGAAAUCUCGUCUUGUUACAGUACCUGUUUCUACCCAUAUUGCCUCAGUAUCCCCCCUGUCAUCGAAUGAUUCCUAUGGAUUCCUUUUCCUUUUAAGGGAAGUGCCUGGAAUAAGUUGCAAUGAGGAUGUGGUGACCCCAAGACACCAUACACCUUUCACUCCUCAAGAAAUUAGAGAAAUGAAAUACAAUGUACCUGUUUUGAAUGCGAACCUCUUGUGAUAACCAAGAAAAUGGCUGAUAUUCUUUUUUAUCAAUAUGACCCAUCCUAUAAAGAUGUUGAGAAUUUACUCAA